rnacentral:rRNA from 1 species
UUGACCUCGAUCAGGUGGGAUCCCAC